CAGCCGCCGCGGUAAUACGUAGGGGGCGAGCGUUACCCGGAUUCACUGGGCGUAAAGGGGGUGUAGGCGGCUCGGUAAGUCGGGUGUGAAAUCCCACGGCUCAACCGUGGAAUUGCGCCCGAAACUGCCGAGCUUGGGGCCGGUAGAGGGAGACGGAACUGCCGGUGUAGGGGUGAAAUCCGUAGAUAUCGGGAGGAACACCAGUGGCGAAGGCGGCCUCCUGGCCCGCUCCUGACGCUGAGACCCGAAAGCGUGGGGAGCAAACCGGAUUAGAUCCCCGGGUAGUCCACGCCGUAAACGGUGGGCACUAGGUGUGGGGGGUUAAUCCCUCCGUGCCGAAGCUAACGCAUUAAGUGCCCCGCCUGGGGAGUACGGCCGCAAGGUUGAAACUUAAAGGAAUUGGCGGG
rnacentral:rRNA from 1 species